UACAUAGGCAGCUAUGAGUGACAGUGAAGGAACAUUACCCAAAUAUUUUUUGAUCUCAACUCUUCACUAAAGGAACAGCACCAGUAUAAUAUGGUUAAGCAGGAGGAGCUGAAUAACAAAGUUUUGAAAACAAGAAGCAGUUCUAAACUAUCUUCUUCAAGAGCAUACAAGGCUUUCCUUUUGCUUCAGAGAAAAGAGCAUGAAUAGCUGUAACUACAGAACUAUGGACCAUGAAUAGCUGUAACUCCUGGAAUUUCAUCAGUGUAAG